AUAUGCCUUUUGGUGGGGGACAACAGUUGGAAACGACUGCUAAUACCGCAUGAUGUCUACGGACCAAAGUGGGGGACCUUCGGGCCUCACGCCAAAAGAUUAGCCCAAGUGGGAUUAGCUAGUUGGUGAGGUAAUGGCUCACCAAGGCGACGAUCCCUAGCUGGUUUGAGAGGAUGAUCAGCCACACUGGGACUGAGACACGGCCCAGACUCCUACGGGAGGCAGCAGUGGGGAAUAUUGCACAAUGGGCGCAAGCCUGAUGCAGCCAUGCCGCGUGUGUGAAGAAGGCCUUCGGGUUGUAAAGCACUUUCAGUAAGGAGGAAAGGUUAAGUUUUAAUAGAGCUUAGCUGUGACGUUACUUACAGAAGAAGGACCGGCUAACUCCGUGCCAGCAGCCGCGGUAAUACGGAGGGUCCGAGCGUUAAUCGGAAUUACUGGGCGUAAAGCGUGCGUAGGCGGUUGAUUAAGUCAGAUGUGAAAUCCCGGGGCUCAACCUCGGAACUGCAUUUGAAACUGGUCAACUAGAGUAUUGUAGAGGGUGGUGGAAUUUCCCAGUGUAGCGGUGAAAUGCGUAGAGAUUGGAAGGAACAUCAGUGGCGAAGGCGGCCACCUGGACAAAUACUGACGCUGAGGCACGAAAGCGUGGGAGCGACAG
rnacentral:rRNA from 1 species